CAUUAUCCAUCCUGCUGAUGAACACUUAAGUUGCUUCCACAUCCUGGCUAUUGAAAAUAAGGCUGCUGUGAACAUUGAGGAACAUGUAUCUUUCAAAAUUAGUGUUUUUAUUUUCUUUCUUCAGAUUAGUAUCCAGAAGGGGGAUUGCUGGAUCAAAUAUUCUUAAUUCGGCUGUAAAUGUCUUUGCUUAGAAGACUUGAUAGUUCGGAAAUGUGAAGUAUUCAUGGAGAAUCGUCUCUCAACAAAUACAUGAAGGGGACACCAGGCGAUUUGCAAGGGCUGAUUUUGAACAUGACCCACAAUGCAUUCUUGCAACAACUCUUCAUCAGGACCCACCAAAUUAGAAGCAGAGGCAACUAUUGUUCCUGAAGCCCGAGUUCCCAGAUAGAGAUCUCUGCCCACCAUCUGCGAUGCCACGGAGACCCUGUUUAGAAACAGCAGCGCUGCCUCGACUAAAAAAUGAUCUGACUCCUGAAAAAGAAGAGACAGUUUCUCAUCCCUUCCACCAAUACCAGCAGAAAUGGCCCCAAGAGACAUUUGCAUUCUGAUGCCCUCACUGUGGCAGAAGAGGUCAGGGUACUCUGAUUGACCAGGCUGGAGUCAUAUGACUGCUGGGUACCUGGAGGCAAGACAGAAGUUCUUCCAGGAAAAAGCAGGUGGCAGUUCCCAAAGGAAAUGGGGAGAGCUGGGUAAGUCAAUCCAACAGAAAACCUGUAGGAAACAGAUGACACUCUUUAGAGAGGGCUAUUUCCAAAAGUAUGGACAGCGACGAGGGAUGGGGCGAAAGCUGGGAUGAGCACCAGGGGAAACUUAGGCCUGAAGGGUCAGGAUGGAAAUCGCUGGUUAAAUCUAGUUAAAUCUGUAGGAGCUGGAACCUCAAGAUCCAUCACGGGGCUGGAGAGAGGAGAGAACACAGCAAAGACCAAACUGCUGCCUGGCAGGAAGAAGUUCACUCUGUCCCGCGCAGCCUCCAGCCUCCCGCCCAUGCCUCUCAUUGGCCACCCAACCAGAGGCCAGGGGCACAUCCUAGAGGCCAGCCCCUUGGGCACAGAGCAGCUGGAGAAGUGCCUGGAGCGGUCAGGAGAGCAAAGGGAGAUGGUGCAGGCAAGACACAGAGAGAGUUAGUCUGUUCUCUGGCUCAAUGCAGGCAGGGCUGGCCUCUCAGGUUUAUGGACUAUACAGCCAGGGGGCCUGAGCUGAGAUCCAAUGCUUGGUCGGUCCCAUGCUCUGCUGUCACCAUCUCGAAAUUCUUAAUCAUUUUUGA